AGCGAGUGUUAAAAAGCGCGAUUUAGUUAGUAGGAAUAGACGCGAAACUUUAGUGAUCUACCCAUGACCAGGUUGAAGUUACGGUAACACGUGAUGGAGGACCGAACCAGUUUCCGUUGAAAAGGAUUUGGAUGAGUUGUGGGUAGGGGUGAAAGGCUAAUCAAACUGAGAGAUAGCUCGUACUCCCCGAAAUGCCUUUAGGGGCAGCCUAUACGAAGAGUGUUACAGAGGUAGAGAUACUGAUUAGACGAGGGGGCUUCACCGCCUACCGACUCUAGACAAACUCCGAAUGCUGUAACACAGGUAAUGGAGUGAGGCUACGGGUGCUAAGGCCCGUGGCCGAGAGGGGACGAACCCAGACUAACAGCUAAGGUCCCUAAGUGUAUGUAAGUUGGCAUAAACGCGGUGCGGUUG
rnacentral:rRNA from 1 species